UGCCCCAUGGCUGAGUUGGUUACAGCGUCCGACUGUUAUCAUAGAAUUGUGCAAGAUCAAUCGGAAGGUCGAGAGUUCGAGCCUCUCUGGGGCAG
rnacentral:tRNA from 1 species